rnacentral:rRNA from 1 species
UACGUAGGUGGCAAGCGUUGUCCGGAUUUACUGGGUGUAAAGGGCGAGUAGGCGGGGCUGCAAGUCAGUAGUGAAAUACCACGGCUUAACCGUGGCACUGCUAUUGAAACUGUAGUUCUUGAGUAAUGGAGAGGCAGGCGGAAUUCCCGGUGUAGCGGUGGAAUGCGUAGAGAUCGGGAGGAACACCAGUGGCGAAGGCGGCCUGCUGGACAUCAACUGACGCUGAGGAGCGAAAGCGUGGGGAGCAAACAGG